UACGGAAGGCAGCAGUGGGGAAUAUUGCACAAUGGGCGAAAGCCUGAUGCAGCUAUGCCGCGUGUAUGAAGAAGGCCUUAGGGUUGUAAAGUACUUUCAUCGGGGAGGAAAAAACAAAACUAAUAAUUUUAUUUCUUGACGUUACCCGAAAAAGAAGCACCGGCUAACUCCGUGCCAGCAGCCGCGGUAAUACGGAGGGUGCUAGCGUUAAUCAGAAUUACUGGGCGUAAAGAGCACGUAGGUGGUUUUUUUAAGUCAGAUGUGAAAUCCCUGGGCUUAACCUAGGAACUGCAUUUUGAAACUGAAAUACUAGAGUAUCGUAGAGGGAGGUAGAAUUCUAGGUGUAGCGGUGAAAUGGCGUAGAUAUCUGGAGGAAUACCUGUGGCGAAAGCGGCCUCCUAAACGAAUACUGACACUGAGGGUGCGAAAGCGUGGGGAGCAAACAGGGGUUAGAUACCCGU
rnacentral:rRNA from 1 species